rnacentral:rRNA from 1 species
AAUAGAUACCCCGGUAGUCCAUGCCGUAAACGAUGUCUACUAGCCGUUGGGGCCUUUGAGGCUUUAGUGGCGCAGCUAACGCGAUAAGUAGACCGCCUGGGGAGUACGGUCGCAAGACUAAAACUCAAAUGAAUUGACGGGGGCCCGCACAAGCGGUGGAGCAUGUGGUUUAAUUCGAUGCAACGCGAAGAACCUUACCUGGUCUUGACAUACAGAGAACUUUCCAGAGAUGGAUUGGUGCCUUCGGGAACUCUGAUACAGGUGCUGCAUGGCUGUCGUCAGCUCGUGUCGUGAGAUGUUGGGUUAAGUCCCGCAACGAGCGCAACCCUUUUCCUUACUUGCCAGCAUUUCGGAUGGGAACUUUAAGGAUACUGCCAGUGACAAACUGGAGGAAGGCGGGGACGACGUCAAGUCAUCAUGGCCCUUACGACCGAGGGCUACACACGUGCUACAAUGGUCGGUACAAAGGGUUGCUACACAGCGAUGUGAUGCUAAUCUCAAAAACGCCGAUCGUAGUCCGGA